rnacentral:tRNA from 1 species
AGCAGGAUAGAGCAGUAGUAGCUCGUCGGUCUUAUUAGCCGAAGGUCGAAUGGUGCAAAUCCUUCUCCUGCAA